UUAAUGUUUGAUUCUGGCUUAAAAUCUUUGUUUUAUUAUUAAAGUCGUAUGAAAAUUAUUUAUAAUAGGAGAGUAUGUAUUAAUUUUUAUAUUAAUAUUUUAAAUUAAUGUAAGUAAAAUUAUAAUCGUUUAUUUUCUCAGCGUGAAAUUUUAGUUAAUAUAUGAAAUUAUGAACUAGUAAAUAAUAUAAUAUAAAUCUGAUAAAAUAUUGUGCCAGCAUUCGCGGUUAGACUUUAAGGUUAAAUAAAGAAGUAAUGAUUUAAGUUACUCAUGAGAAUAUAAAUAUUCAAAUUUCAAAUAUUAAUAGGUGAAAUUAUUGUUAUUUUGUAAAUAUUAAAUUUAUAUUUUAAGGAAGCUAAUAAACUUUAAAGAUAAACUAGGAUUAGAUACCCUAUUAUAUUAAAGUUAAAUUUGAAAUAAAUAUUAAAUUAUUAGUAGAUAUUUCUUGAAACUUAAAGAAUUUGGCGGUAAUUUAGUCUUGUCAGAGGAACCUGUUUAAAAUUAAUCGAUAUACCUCGCAGUAUCUUACUUGUUUUUAGUUUGUAUACCAUCAUUAUUAGAUAAUUUUUAAAAAAUUAAUUAUUAAAAUUGAAUUGUUAAGAAAAUUAGAUCAAGGUGCAGCUCAUAAAUAAGUUUAAAUGGGUUACAAUAAAUUUUAUUUAAAUGGAGUAGAUUAGUAAGUUGAAUUUAGGAAGGAGGAUUUGAUAGUAAUAUAAGUUUAAUAAGCUUAUAAGAUAAAGGCUCUAAAUUAUGUACAUAUCGCCCGUCGCUUUCAUUAAUUAAUGAAAUAAGUCGUAACAUAGUAGAUGUACUGGAAGGUGUAUCUAGAAUUAUUAAUAUAAAUUAGCAGUAAUAUUUCAUUUAUUGGAAAAAAUUUUAUAAUAAUAUUAUAUAUG
rnacentral:ncRNA from 1 species